rnacentral:rRNA from 1 species
GAUGAACGCUAGCUACAGGCUUAACACAUGCAAGUCGGGGGGCAGCAUGACCUAGCAAUAGGUUGAUGGCGACCGGCGCACGGGUGAGUAACACGUAUCCAACCUACCGGUUAUUCCGGGAUAGCCUUUCGAAAGAAAGAUUAAUACCGGAUAGUAUAACGAGAAGGCAUCUUCUUGUUAUUAAAGAAUUUCGAUAACCGAUGGGGAUGCGUUCCAUUAGUUUGUUGGCGGGGUAACGGCCCACCAAGACAUCGAUGGAUAGGGGUUCUGAGAGGAAGGUCCCCCACAUUGGAACUGAGACACGGUCCAAACUCCUACGGGAGGCAGCAGUGAGGAAUAUUGGUCAAUGGACGAGAGUCUGAACCAGCCAAGUAGCGUGAAGGAUGACUGCCCUAUGGGUUGUAAACUUCUUUUAUAUGGGAAUAAAGUGAGCCACGUGUGGCUUUUUGUAUGUACCAUACGAAUAAGGAUCGGCUAACUCCGUGCCAGCAGCCGCGGUAAUACGGAGGAUCCGAGCGUUAUCCGGAUUUAUUGGGUUUAAAGGGAGCGUAGGCGGACUAUUAAGUCAGCUGUGAAAGUUUGCGGCUCAACCGUAAAAUUGCAGUUGAUACUGGUCGUCUUGAGUGCAGUAGAGGUAGGCGGAAUUCGUGGUGUAGCGGUGAAAUGCUUAGCUAUCACGAAGACUCCGAUUGCGAAGGCAGCUUACUGGAC